rnacentral:lncRNA from 1 species
UUUGUGACACAUUGUUGUGGCUGCUUCAUAUAUUUCUGUAUAGGUAGUAUGGCAAUUUUGCUCUUUAAGGGCUCUGCUGCUCCACAAGCAGAGGAAGAUCAGUUCUCAGCAAUAGGGGCAACCAAAGCAUAAAGUAGUUUCCUUAUUAUUUGAGUUUAUUCUAUUGUAAUAGUAGUGUAAUGAGAAUUAAUUGAAAAAAAUUGAAAAACAAAAAAAAUGUAGGUAUUAAAAUCAUCUUAUUGCCUUCAUUGUGG